GUGUAAGAAAGUGUUCCAGUGGUUCAUUCUUCUGCAUAUCGCUGUCCAGUUUGCCCAACACAAUUUGUUAAAGAGACUGUCUUUUUUCCAUUGGUUAUUCUUUC